rnacentral:rRNA from 1 species
UACGUAGGGGGCAAGCGUUAUCCGGAUUUACUGGGUGUAAAGGGAGCGUAGACGGCCAGGCAAGUCUGGAGUGAAAGCCCAAAGCUCAACUAUGGGACUGCUCUGGAAACUGUCAGGCUGGAGUGCGGGAGGGGUAAGCGGAAUUCCUAGUGUAGCGGUGAAAUGCAUAGAUAUCACGCAGAACUCCGAUUGCGAAGGCAGCAUACCGGCGCCCUACUGACGCUGAGGCACGAAAGCGUGGGUAUCGAACAGG